rnacentral:tRNA from 1 species
CGGAGUAUAGCGCAGCCUGGUAGCGCAUCUGCUUUGGGAGCAGAGGGUCAGAGGUUCGAAUCCUCUUACUCCGACCA